rnacentral:rRNA from 1 species
UACGUAGGGGGCAAGCGUUGUCCGGAAUUAUUGGGCGUAAAGCGCGCGCAGGCGGCCGAUUAAGUCUGGUGUUUAACCCCGGGGCUCAACCCCGGGUCGCACUGGAAACUGGUUGGCUUGAGUACAGAAGAGGAAAGUGGAAUUCCACGUGUAGCGGUGAAAUGCGUAGAGAUGUGGAGGAACACCAGUGGCGAAGGCGACUUUCUGGGCUGUAACUGACGCUGAGGCGCGAAAGCGUGGGGAGCAAACAGG